GUUAAUUCGGGUGCAGGCGCGGCGGUAGUGCGAAGGGUGCAAGCGGUAGUCGGAAUUACUGGGCGGAAGGCGGGCGUAGGUGGCUUUUUAAGUCGGAUGUGAAAGCCCCGAGCGUAACUUGGGAAAUGCAUUCGGUACUGGGAAGCUAGAGUAUGGGAGAGGAUGGUAGAAUUCCAGGUGUAGCGGUGAAAUGCGUAGAGAUCUGGAGGAAUACCGAUGGCGAAGGCAGCCAUCUGGCCUAAUACUGACGCUGAGGUACGAAAGCAUGGGGAGCAAACAGGAUUAGAUACCCCUGUAGUC
rnacentral:rRNA from 1 species